CCUACGGGAGGCAGCAGUGAGGAAUAUUGGUCAAUGGCCGGAAGGCUGAACCAGCCAUGCAGCGUGAAGGUCAGUGCCCUAUGGGCGUUAAACUUCUUUUGUGCGGGAGCAAUAAUGGUCACGUGUGGCCAGACGAGAGUACCGUACGAAUAAGCAUCGGCUAACUCCGUGCCAGCCGCGGCGGUAAUACGGGGGAUGCAAGCGUUAACCGGAUUUAUUGGGUUUAAAGGGUGGGUAGGCUGGGAGGUAAGUCAGCGGGUAAAUGCCACCGCUCAACGGGGUGAAGUGCCAUUGAUACUGCCUGGCUGGAAUGCAGAUGCCGUGGGAGGAAUGUGUGGUGUAGCGGUGAAAUGCAUAGAUAUCACACAGAACACCGAUUGCGAAGGCAUCUCACGAAUCCGCGAUUGACGCUGAUGCACGAAAGCGUGGGUAUCAAACAGGAUUAGAUACCCCAGUAGUC
rnacentral:rRNA from 1 species